rnacentral:rRNA from 1 species
AUUGAACGCUGGCGGCAGGCUUAACACAUGCAAGUCGAACGAGUGGCGGACGGGUGAGUAAUGUCUGGGAAUCUGGCUUAUGGAGGGGGAUAACUACGGGAAUCUGUAGCUAAUACCGCGUACCAUCGGAUGUGCCCAAAUGGGCUUAGGUAGUUGGUGAGGUAAAGGCUCACCUAGCCGACGAUCUCUAGCUGGUCUGAGAGGAUGACCAGCCACACUGGGAAUGAGACACGGCCCAGAAUCCUACGGGAGGCAGCAGUGGGGAAUAUGGCGCAAUGGGGGCAACCUGAGGCAGCCAUGCCGCGUGUAUGAAGAAGGCCUUCGGGUUGUAAAGUUCUUUCGGGAGCGAGGCGUUAACUACAGAAGAAGCACCGGCUAACUCCGUGCCAGCAGCCGCGGUAAUAC